UGGGGAAUAUUGGACAAUGGGCGAAAGCCUGAUCCAGCCAUGCCGCGUGUGUGAAGAAGGUCUUCGGAUUGUAAAGCACUUUAAGUUGGGAGGAAGGGCAUUAACCUAAUACGUUAGUGUUUUGACGUUACCGACAGAAUAAGCACCGGCUAACUCUGUGCCAGCAGCCGCGGUAAUACAGAGGGUGCAAGCGUUAAUCGGAAUUACUGGGCGUAAAGCGCGCGUAGGUGGUUUGUAAAGUUGGAUGUGAAAUCCCCGGGCUCAACCUGGGAACUGCAUUCAAAACUGACUGACUAGAGUAUGGUAGAGGGUGGUGGAAUUUCCUGUGUAGCGGUGAAAUGCGUAGAUAUAGGAAGGAACACCAGUGGCGAAGGCGACCACCUGGACUAAUACUGACACUGAGGUGCGAAAGCGUGGGGAGCAAACA
rnacentral:rRNA from 1 species